UGUACAAGUUCAUGCCCCUUGAAACUGGGCGAAACCGCGAAUGGCUCAUUAAACAGUCUUAACCUAUUUGAUGUUUAGAGUUAUAUGGAUAACUGUGGUAAUUCUAGAGCUAAUACAUGCACAAAAUAGGUGACUGUUGGGUCAAACUAACAGAAGCCUGGCGUUUAUUAGACUAAGACCAAUGGUUGCGAGCAAUCGCAAUCCAACUUAUGGUGACUCUGAAUAAAUAAUGGGUGAAAGCCCAUGAUGCUGACCCUCUUCAAAGGCCUGCUUAAUCGCGGGUUGAGGGCAAAUCAUUCGAGUGUCUGCUCUAUCAACUGUGGAUGGUAGGGUACAUGCCUACCAUGGUGGUAACGGGUAACGGGGAGUUAGGGCUCGACUCCGGAGAACAAGCCUGAGAAACGGCUAGUAGGACUAAGGUCUGCAGCAGGCGCGAAACUUACACAAUGGGAGCACAUCCCUGAUGUAGUGAAGGAAAAUAACGAUGUAUCUCUCAUUGCUGAGUGAUACAAUUGGAAUGAGACGACCGUAAAUACGUUAGUCGAGUAACAAAUGGAGGGCAAGUCUGGUGCCAGCAGCCGCGGUAAUUCCAGCUCCAUUAGCGUAUAUUAAAGUUGUUGCGGUUAAAAAGCUCGUAGUUGAAAUUAGCUUGGCUCUACGCCACUCGCUUCCAAUUAAAGGCCGUCGUUCCUUUAAAGUGGCGUUCAACUUAACUGUUGCGUCGCCUGGGCGAUUGUGCCUGGUUGCGUUAGUGGACGUAAGGCCAAUGUUUCGUCACUGCAUUUAGGUGCGAAGCGGGGCGUUGUAUCGUUCACCGGCUAUUUACUUAGUCGAGCUGCAGCGUCAAGUUUACCUUGAGAAAAUUAGAGUGCUCACAGCAGGCAGUUGGGGUCGAAAGGCUCUUUUCUUGCUUGAAUAAUGUUGCAUGGAAUAAUAGAAUACGGCCUCGGUUCUAUUCUGUUGGUCUUAUAGAACAACAAAAAAGUUGGUACUUGCACUAACGCUGUGCCGUGUACUGGUUCUGCCAUGGUUGAGCUGGUUUGUGUUUAUGUUGCCUGGAUGGUAAAAAGUUCAGCGCCGUGACACGGCCAUGUCUUGUCUGGUGUUCCAUUUUAAAGGUGCACGGUAUUAGCAAGCAACCGCCAACUGAGGCAAUGGUUAAAAGAAAUAGUCGCGGCGGCAUCAGUACUGCAUCGCUAGAGGUGAAAUUCUUAGACCGAUGCAAGACUAACUGAAGCGAAAGCGUUUGCCGAGGAUGUUUUCAUUAAUCAAGAACGAAAGUUAGAGGUUCGAAGGCGAUCAGAUACCGCCCUAGUUCUAACCAUAAACGUUGCCAACUAGCAAUUGGCCUGAAUUCUAUUUUAACAAAUUGAAUGAUUCGGCCAGCGGCUCUAGGGAAACCAAAGUCUUUGGGUUCCGGGGGAAGUAUGAUUGCAAAGUUGAAACUUAAAGGAAUUGACGGAAGGGCACCACCAGGAGUGGAGCCUGCGGCUUAAUUUGACUCAACACGGGGAAACUUACUAGAUUAGAACACAGGAAUGAUCGACAGAUUGAAAGCUCUUUCUUGAUUCUGUGAGUGGUGGUGCAUGGCCGUUCUUGAUUCGUAGAUUGAUUCGUCUGCUUAAUUGCGAUAACGAGUGAGACCUCACUUUACUAACUAGUCGCUUAGUGCAUCUUUGACGCAAAAGUCUGGCUUGCUGCGUAUUGCGUUUAGGUGCAAACCUGGCGUGUGCGUGCGCUUUUCAGAUGUCAAGGACUCGCUAGCGACUUCUAGAAAGAUAAACGGUGUUUUAGCCGUAAGAAAUGAG
rnacentral:rRNA from 1 species